UUGAGAAGAGCCUUCCUUAGGGUUUUUGAGAAGCUUUGAGGAGGUAAGAUUUCAAUCAAGGGGAAAGAGCCUGUGGAGAAGUAACAACAGAAUGUUUUAGCUCGCCAAGUUUGUGAUAGUACAGCAGUGGGAUAGAAGUGUGAAGUGCUUGGCAGAGCAGUUUGAGUUAUCUUAAGCUGUGUAUGAUGGU